rnacentral:tmRNA from 1 species
GGGGAUGCCAGGCAUCGAUAAUAAGACAUUUUUUGUAAUACUCAAAACAUGGUGGGCCUACCCAUGUCAAACCAGCCUAAAACAUAAGUGGAAAAAACACUUUAAGCAAAGCUGCCUUCUCUUGGAAGGUUCCAGCUUUUGCUCCCGUUGUCGCUUAACAAUAACCGACAGCCAUCGGACCAGUGAGGCUUCAUAGCUGUCAUCCGGUGUCAUUACUGAAGCUAGGUCUAGGGGUUGCCCUAGUUCUUAGACCGAAAGAUUUAGGGCUAGCCAAAGCCGAUUUUGUUUAGUUUUUACGGUAUUUAGCGAAAUUUCAAACUAGACUAAUUUUGUACAAGUAUUACCGAAAACUUAUUAGACAUGGGUUCAACUCCCAUCAUCUCCACUA